rnacentral:lncRNA from 1 species
AGCAAGUGGACGGGUUAUCAGUCUGAUGUAAUCUCCACGCAUUCAUACCUUUUGGGUCAAUGACAAUCGUUGCCAACGCAAUGCCAGCCCGCAUCUACAAUAACAUGACUCUAUGCGCGUAGACUUUCUCAUUCCUAGCCAAGACAGAAGGAAGUUAUCAGUCGACGUUCGUUUUCUCCUCCCCAAUCCAAUCAAUCAAAUCAACAAGUUUAACCAUGGCAAGUUUUACUCAGCUUCAGCCGGUUGUUUUGUGUAUGCUCCUACUGCUAAUCAACUUAGUUAAAGCCCAGUCUCUCGGAGCCGCCGUUGGUCUGGGUGUCGGGAUCAUCGUCGCCAUUGUCAUCGGUGCCAUUGUCGGUUUGGUCGUCGUUAUCGUUCUGUGUGGCUGCUGCUGCUACCAUUGCUGCUGCAAAAAGCCCCAAGUGACGCACAACACCGUGGUGGUCAGCCAGGUACCGCAGCAGCCAGGCACCGCCGGGCAGCAGCAGACGCCUGCUCAGCCACCCUCCUACGACCAGCAGGUAGCGUAGCUCCUCACCUGGUCGAAAUCUGCACUAAGGACUAUUCAGAGGGACAGAGAUCUACCUGUCUUGAGGUCUUCCUCAAUUUGAUAUAUGCUGUUUACUGUAAUCAAUUCAGUAAAGAGAGGGGUUAACCAAGUACAAGAUGCAAAAGUUUCAUGUACCAGUGUACAUGUAUUGGUUUUUUUUUUCGACUUUUCCAGACAGAUUUGCACAGUCAGUCAACAUUUUGAAAAUACAUGUAUAGCAUGAACUACCAAAAUAACUUGCUCUGUAAACUGGUUGGCUUGAUUCUGAUGUGUCAAAGAGAAGGAAGAAAUUUUGUUUUCAGUGGAAAGAAGUCUUUCCCUUGGGCUUUUUUAAAAUUGAAAUAGCUUAUGAAUAGUGGCGGAACUAACUAUCGGGAAAGGGAAAGUGCUCCCGGAAGUCCGUGCCCCCCGGAUUCACCCUCAUUUUAAAACUUUGAAAAUCAACGAAGCCAUUUAAUUUGUUUUGAGAGUUAAUGUGUGACCAUUGGUGCUCCCUUGGAAAUUCUACCCUAGCUUCUGUGUAAAUACCAGCGGAGCAUUUUUUUAGGGGAUGGUGUAAUAUUAUACUUGCUUGAGUUUUUUGUCUCGUCGUCUGAAAGCUCUUGAUAAUGCCGGACGCUGCUCCUUAAGACUUGGAUAAAAUACAGUAAAGUCUCCAAGUAAUGUGCCAAUAUUUUAUGUGUUGUCACUUGCCAUUACCUUUCUUCCGUAUUAAAUUUUGCUCAACUACAAGCAAGACCUGGUUAUGGUCCCACCAAAAAGUUCGAUGAUUACGCAAUUUGUGGGGGUAAAUUUGAAUUUGUACAAUAUGUGUUUUAUAAUGUCACUCAUCAAUCAGAUUACUAGGAGGGCAUAAGUUAUCUGUAUUUUGUACUUGGUUAUAAUUUAAUAGUUUUAUCAUACGAGGGACUUUUUUACUAGCACAUAGUUGACAAAUUGGUGUCGGCAAGAUUGUUGCUUUAAGAAGAGAGAAGGGCCAGCUCUCUGUCAUACUGGGGUCAUCAACAUAUCUGUUCUCUUAUUAAUUUUAUUGAGUUCUUGUAUUCUUCUCAAAAUGUCUGGUACUGGUGACUGGGACACGAUUGUCAGGGGAAGGGAGGGCAAUACCCGUACUUCCCCUAGGUAUGGGCUGGAAAUCUCUCCUCGAUCAUGGGGGGGGACAUCAAUUUACACUUUUUUGAGCAUAACUCGUGUUUAUGAUCUUAUUCCAUUUAUAAAAUCUCAAACGGGAAAAUCCUCGAUCCAUCAAUUCCUUUAAUAUUUUGUUUUGCUUGAAACAUGGAGGGGACAUUCGACAUUGUCUCCCCCAUACCAAAUUCAUGGGGGAGGGGCGUGUCCCCCUGUCCCCCCAGGGUUUCCGCCCAUGCCCCUAGGUUACACUUACACUUUACUUCGUUGAACAACACGUGUACAUUUUGGACUUAAAGAUGGAGAGCGCAUAUUGUAUAAUCAAUAGUGAAUUGUAAUCCACUUGGCAUUAGAGCUCUCAACUGGUGUAUUAAUACAGAAUCUAGAUUGUGAAUUUCGGUACUCCUAUUGUACAGAAACCCAAGUCCACUAAUUGUCAAAUGCAUGGAGCACGUGCAACACAUGUAAAAGGAGUACAGAAUUCAUGGAAUCCGGAUGACAUAUUACACCAAUGAUUGAAGCUACUGAUUUAUUGUAUAUCUUUUUAGAUUUGGUGAGGUAUGAACCAAAAUGUUUAUACAUUGCAGUUUCCGUGUAAAACCCUGCAGAUAAUUGCAAGCAUUUGUGUUUGAUUUUUAUUUGUGAUUUUAUGUUCAAACGUAACUUUGGAUCUGUAUUUUUAUAUCGAUACAUUAGGAAUGCCGUUUUGACUUAAGUUAAAACAGACACGUUAAUGUGCACAUUUCUUUUCGAAAUGGACUGCUUUGUACAUAAUAAAGGUCGUUUCCUAUGAGCUGUAAAAACGUGCAAGUGAGAUCAGUCUUCUUCGUUAGUAUUUUUAAUAGACUCAUUUGUAGCAUUAUUCUGAAUCUCAAGUUGUUCUGCAGUAGUUUCGUACUCAUGAAAUGUGUCACCAGGCCUUGAACGACGAUCUUUGAAACCGCAUAGCGAAUACUUUUUUCAUGCAUUGUGAUGCAAGAUAUUAUGCAUAUUCAUCAUGGUGAUCGAAGAAAUUUGUCGUGUUGUUCUGUACACACGUAAAUAUAAUAAAAGGUCUCGUUAGAAACAGGUUCACAGAGCUACGGCUAUCUCUUAUCAUCCUCAUCUGCCCAUGUGCAACCCUCAAAGACCUAGACCUGUGCACGUACUCGAGAUUUCAAUUUGGAUGCUGCCUUCAGUUGGAGUUAUGUGGGCUGAUUCGCUUUUGAGUUUCGUCAUGACUUCCAUUGACUAGUGGCAUGCAUGAGUAAUUUAGGUGUGAGAGUGCGAACCACGAUGACUUCUACGAAACGACCCUGCAAGCACAUGCAUGAGCAUGCGCGAAUACAUUCUCCAAUUCAACGAUCAUUAGAGCCUUCCUUUAUCAGUUGGACAGGCGUUUUUCUGAAAUCGACGAUUUCCAGUCGAUACCUCCUUUGUGAGAGUAAUCGCGCCAUGGCGACUGCUGGACAAAUCCUCUGGUUUCUGAUGGUACUGAUCAACUUGGCUAACGCUAAUAAUUUUGAGACUGCAGUUCAACUGGGCGUUGGAAUCAUUGUUGCCAUUGUCAUUGGUUCAAUUGUCGCUGUCGUACUUGUCAUCGUCCUGUGUGUGUGCUGCUGCUACCACUGCUGUUGCAAGACACGCCCACCGGCCCAGCAAACCGUGGUGGUGACGCACGCACAACAGCCUGGCAUGGCUAUGCAACAACCGACGCAGUACUGAAUGAGGGAAGGACAGGAACCAGUCACCGGGAACCAGUCAACCAUGACUCUUGAAAGGGUAUCAGCAAUGGCUGCAUUGCUAUUUCACUUCGAAUAGUCACGGCUACCGACUCUGUAGAGCAUAAAAUCACGUGUUUGAUACAUGUAUAGCGCACUUUUCACAUACUGUUUGGUUUGAACUUUGAGUUAAAUUUGAUACAGAGCUGUAGAUAUGUAAAGCUUCCAUUUAUAAUUUGUUUUGUCAAUUUUUUUUUCGAAGAUUCCUCCCUUGAGAUGUUACCGGCAAUGUAAAAUGUAGGUAACUAAAGAUGGGGGUAUGCAUGUACCGUAUAUGAAAUGUCUAUGCAUUUAAAUAAAACCUGACUGAAAUUUGAAA